AGAAUCGAAGAAAGAUCGAUUUCGAUUUUUCAUGCUGUUCUCUUUAGACCGAUCAUAGUAGCAGACGUCUUUCGUGAUUUGCUGGGACAUAUACGACGAGGCUUGGAAUGAUUUUGAAUUUGAUUCUCCUUAGGAUAAAAACUUGUAUUACAUCUUGAUCAGUACGUGCAGUAAUUAUUGCUAAUAAAAUUUUCGUAGAAGAAGACAUUAUAUUGAUCAAACGUAACUGCUAGAAAUUCAAUGAAGACAGUACAUGAGAAGAUGAUUUUCAAAAUCAGUUUGUUAUUCGUACUUGCUAUCUUCAGCAUGUUUAGGCAUGAGACACUAGCAUGGCGGUGGUGGAGGAAGUGGAGGACGCCUGAAAAAUGUUACUUUAAGUUGGAUCAUGGUAAUUGCACUGACUAUACUGACUAUAAGGAAAGUACGUGUUUUUGGUUUAAUGCGACCAAUGGAACAUGUUCACCUUUUAAAUACGCGGGUUGCAGAGGAAAUGGUAAUAAUUUUAAUUCUUAUACAAAUUGUAUGAUUGCCUGCAUCAACACAAUAUUUGAAAAAAAUUUUACAUUGGAUGAGUAUGUGUGAUAGUUUGAUAUUAAAUUUAAAUUGAAAUAUUAAA